rnacentral:rRNA from 1 species
UACACACCGCCCGUCACACCAUGGAAGUUGGUUGCACCAGAAGUCGGUCGCUUAACCGCAAGGAGGGCGCCGCCCACGGUGUGGCUAAUGACUGGGGUG